GACCUCGGAUCAGGUAGGGAUACCCGCUGAACUUAAGCAUAUCAAUAAGCGGAGGAAAAGAAACCAACAGGGAUUACCUCAGUAACGGCGAGUGAAGCGGUAACAGCUCAAAUUUGAAAGCUGCCAACAGGCCGCGUUGUAAUUUGUAGAAGCUGCUUUGGGUGUCGGCCCGGUUUAAGUUCCUUGGAACAGGACGUCAUAGAGGGUGAGAAUCCCGUAUGUGAUCGGUGCCGUUGCCCGUGUAAAGCGCUUUCGACGAGUCGAGUUGUUUGGGAAUGCAGCUCAAAAUGGGUGGUAAAUUUCAUCUAAAGCUAAAUAUUGGCCAGAGACCGAUAGCGCACAAGUAGAGUGAUCGAAAGAUGAAAAGCACUUUGGAAGGAGAGUUAAACAGUACGUGAAAUUGUUGAAAGGGAAGCGC
rnacentral:rRNA from 1 species